AUUGAACGCUAGCGGGAUGCCUUACACAUGCAAGUCGAACGGCAGCACGGACUUCGGUCUGGUGGCGAGUGGCGAACGGGUGAGUAAUGUAUCGGAACGUGCCCAGUAGCGGGGGAUAACUACUCGAAAGAGUAGCUAAUACCGCAUACGCCCUACGGGGGAAAGGGGGGGAUCGCAAGACCUCUCACUAUUGGAGCGGCCGAUAUCGGAUUAGCUAGUUGGUGGGGUAAAGGCCCACCAAGGCGACGAUCCGUAGCUGGUUUGAGAGGACGACCAGCCACACUGGGACUGAGACACGGCCCAGACUCCUACGGGGGGCAGCAGUGGGGAAUUUUGGACAAUGGGGGCAACCCUGAUCCAGCCAUCCCGCGUGUGCGAUGAAGGCCUUCGGGUUGUAAAGCACUUUUGGCAGGAAAGAAAUCGCACGGGCUAAUACCUCGUGUGGAUGACGGUACCUGCAGAAUAAGCACCGGCUAACUACGUGCCAGCAGCCGCAGUAA
rnacentral:rRNA from 1 species